GCUGAUCCCUUCGGGGGUGACGCUUGUGGAAUGAGCGGCGGACGGGUGAGUAACACGUGGGCAACCUGCCUGUAAGACUGGGAUAACCCCGGGAAACCGGGGCUAAUACCGGAUAAUACUUUCUUUUGCAUAAAGGAAAGUUGAAAGGCGGCUUCGGCUGUCACUUACAGAUGGGCCCGCGGCGCAUUAGCUAGUUGGUGAGGUAACGGCUCACCAAGGCGACGAUGCGUAGCCGACCUGAGAGGGUGAUCGGCCACACUGGGACUGAGACACGGCCCAGACUCCUACGGGAGGCAGCAGUAGGGAAUCUUCCGCAAUGGACGAAAGUCUGACGGAGCAACGCCGCGUGAGUGAUGAAGGUUUUCGGAUCGUAAAACUCUGUUGUUAGGGAAGAACAAGUUGGAUA
rnacentral:rRNA from 1 species